rnacentral:rRNA from 1 species
CAAAUGACUCUCAGCAACGGGAUAUCUUGGCUCUUGCA